CAAAAGAUUGAAGCGCUCGUGAAGGACAUGCAGAACCCGGAGACAGGGGUCCGAAUGCAGAACCAGAGGGUCCUGGUCACCAGCGUUCCUCAUGCCAUGACAGGAAGUGAUGUUCUGCAAUGGAUCAUCCAGCGGCUUUGGAUCUCCAGUCUGGAGGCACAGAACUUGGGCAACUUUAUUGUCCGGUAUGGCUACAUUUACCCUCUGCAAGACCCCAAGAAUCUCAUUCUCAAGCCUGAUGGCAGCCUCUACCGAUUUCAGACACCGUAUUUCUGGCCCACCCAGCAGUGGCCAGCUGAAGAUACUGAUUACGCCAUCUAUCUGGCCAAGCGAAAUAUCAAGAAGAAAGGGAUUUUGGAAGAAUAUGAAAAGGAAAAUUACAAUUUCUUGAACCAAAAAAUGAACUAUAAGUGGGACUUUGUCAUUAUGCAGGCCAAAGAGCAGUACAGGGCUGGAAAGGAGAGGAACAAAGCAGACAGAUAUGCCCUGGACUGCCAGGAGAAGGCAUACUGGCUGGUGCACCGAUGCCCUCCUGGAAUGGACAAUGUGCUGGACUACGGCCUGGACCGAGUGACCAAUCCGAAUGAAGUCAAGGUAAACCAGCUAUCUAUCUAUCUCCUGUCUGUGCACUCUGGCUGCUGUGGA
rnacentral:sRNA from 1 species